UGGCUGGUCUAUGAGGUACAAAACUAAAGAUGAAGUGGCUGUCAAAUCUGCUGCUGAAGAGCACACCAAAACUGGUUUAAGAAGCAUCCCAACACCGAGGUGAUAGUAUAUGUUUUGUUCUUGUCCAGACACAUGUUCUGCUUGAUAGUGAACUGCAGACAGCUCAUAUUAAGAGCAUAUGAAAGGAGUGGAACAUUCCUACUGGUCCGGGGCACAUUGGCAUGUUAUUUACGAGGAAAUGGUUGCAAGAUGGCAACAGCAUAACUUGACAAAACUGUCAACAAAGUAACUCUUUUUAUGUUGAGGCAUGUAAUUUAUGUGCUAGCUUUUAUCUGCUAACUGCUCAUUGGAGGACGUUAAAUAGUCUUAUGAGGUGAGUAUAUAACAACUAUGGACAGAUAAUGAAGAAAUAUUCUGAGAUAAAACCUUCGAGUGAUAUGGUAAUUGAAUUUUUCAAUUUUUUUUUAGCUUUUUAUCUUUUCCGAGUAAUAUUUAUCUUGCGUAGUAAGUUGUCUGCCUACCUAAUAUGAUUCAAAUAGAUGUGUACUUAUGAAUAUACUUUAUGAUAGCCAUCUUGUUCUACCAGUAAGAGCUGGUGCUUUUUAGUGCCACUUUCUAAUUAUGUCCUCCACUCAAAUAUCAUUGAAUAAUGUCUUUCUUGAUUUCUUCCUAACUGGUUUUGCAACUCAAAAGAAGACAAAGAUGCCUCCUCUUCCUUACAUACUUCUUGGAGAAUACCUUAGUUUUCCUCUUGAAAUUAACUUGCACUACGACGCUUUCCAUUAUUUGCAAGCUAAAUGUUCAUAAAUGCAGGAGUAUAUUUCUUUAACAAGGAGAUCCACUAAGGCUGUUGGUACUGUUUUUCCAGAUUCAGUAUAUCUCCAAAUAUGAGGAUAUCUCCUAAGGUUGGGUUGUGGAGAUGUUGGAAGUGGCUACUUGGCUGAACUGAGUCGAACCAAAUGUUACUUUGCUAUGGAAGUCACAGAUAAAGUAUCUUUUGCCAGCCGCCACAAAGCUCUUCAUGCUCAGACCAAAAGAGAAAUUUUACAGUCCCUUGAUCAUCUUUUUCUUCCAUCACGCUACAGACACUUCGAGACUGAUAAGUUCUCAUGUUUGGUCAUGGAUUCUACCCUGGAGGGGAUCUUCACACUCUUACGCAGAGACAGCCAAGGAAACAUUUUUCUGAACAAGCGGUGAAGUAUAACCUCCUUUCAGUCUUUGGA